UGGCGGAUUCAUGAACAAGCUUGGAGUUGAUUGGUGGUGCUUCCAUGACAGGGAUAUAGCCCCUGAUGGCAAAACCCUGGAGGAAAGUAAUGCAAACUUGGAUGAAGUAGUGGCCCUUGCCAAGAAGCUUCAGAGAUGAAGUGGAAUACUCUAAUUUCAUCACAGCAAAGGCAUAAUCCAAAGAACUCAACGACAUCGCAAAUCAUCUUCUGGAACAAAUCGAUCUUCCUUUUAUUCAAAACAUACAAAGUCUUCCAUAUGUUAUUCAAAAUCCAAUUUUGUUUGACAAAUUCACC